UUUAUUUGUAUGUCUUUCUCUCACAGUCAGAGCAGAUAUUUUAAAGAUGUUUUAAAUACAUUCCUGGAUUCAUCUGCAGCAGAGCUGAAGCUGGCUGAGCUGUUACUGUGGGAGCGUUUAGCUGGAAUUCAAAGAACUGAGAAACUCUUGUCCGUCACAUGUUCCUGUCAGAGGUCACAGUGAAAGCCUUCACGUGUUGUUGGGUUGACAGAAUCUCCUGUGCUGCCACCUGCUGGUGAAGAUCUGUCAGAGGGCUUCAUACACCAAUCACUGUAAGCAUGUUACUAAAUUAUAACCUUGAUGACGUAAACCACACACACACACACACACACA